rnacentral:rRNA from 1 species
GGUUAACCGAAUAGGGGAGCCGAAGGGAAACCGAGUCUUAACUGGGCGUUAAGUUGCAGGGUAUAGACCCGAAACCCGGUGAUCUAGCCAUGGGCAGGUUGAAGGUUGGGUAACACUAACUGGAGGACCGAACCGACUAAUGUUGAAAAAUUAGCGGAUGACUUGUGGCUGGGGGUGAAAGGCCAAUCAAACCGGGAGAUAGCUGGUUCUCCCCGAAAGCUAUUUAGGUAGCGCCUCGUGAAUUCAUCUCCGGGGGUAGAGCACUGUUUCGGCAAGGGGGUCAUCCCGACUUACCAACCCGAUGCAAACUGCGAAUACCGGAGAAUGUUAUCACGGGAGACACACGGCGGGUGCUAACGUCCGUCGUGAAGAGGGAAACAACCCAGACCGCCAGCUAAGGUCCCAAAGUCAUGGUUAAGUGGGAAACGAUGUGGGAAGGCCCAGACAGCCAGGAUGUUGGCUUAGAAGCAGCCAUCAUUUAAAGAAAGCGUAAUAGCUCACUGGUCGAGUCGGCCUGCGCGGAAGAUGUAACGGGGCUAAACCAUGCACCGAAGCUGCGGCAGCGACGCUUAUGCGUUGUUGGGUAGGGGAGCGUUCUGUAAGCCUGCGAAGGUGUGCUGUGAGGCAUGCUGGAGGUAUCAGAAGUGCGAAUGCUGACAUAAGUAACGAUAAAGCGGGUGAAAAGCCCGCUCGCCGGAAGACCAAGGGUUCCUGUCCAACGUUAAUCGGGGCAGGGUGAGUCGACCCCUAAGGCGAGGCCGAAAGGCGUAGUCGAUGGGAAACAGGUUAAUAUUCCUGUACUUGGUGUUACUGCGAAGGGGGGACGGAGAAGGCUAUGUUGGCCGGGCGACGGUUGUCCCGGUUUAAGCGUGUAGGCUGGUUUUCCAGGCAAAUCCGGAAAAUCAAGGCUGAGGCGUGAUGACGAGGCACUACGGUGCUGAAGCAACAAAUGCCCUGCUUCCAGGAAAAGCCUCUAAGCAUCAGGUAACAUCAAAUCGUACCCCAAACCGACACAGGUGGUCAGGUAGAGAAUACCAAGGCGCUUGAGAGAACUCGGGUGAAGGAACUAGGCAAAAUGGUGCCGUAACUUCGGGAGAAGGCACGCUGAUAUGUAGGUGAAGUCCCUUGCGGAUGGAGCUGAAAUCAGUCGAAGAUACCAGCUGGCUGCAACUGUUUAUUAAAAACACAGCACUGUGCAAACACGAAAGUGGACGUAUACGGUGUGACGCCUGCCCGGUGCCGGAAGGUUAAUUGAUGGGGUCAGCGCAAGCGAAGCUCUUGAUCGAAGCCCCGGUAAACGGCGGCCGUAACUAUAACGGUCCUAAGGUAGCGAAAUUCCUUGUCGGGUAAGUUCCGACCUGCACGAAUGGCGUAAUGAUGGCCAGGCUGUCUCCACCCGAGACUCAGUGAAAUUGAACUCGCUGUGAAGAUGCAGUGUACCCGCGGCAAGACGGAAAGACCCCGUGAACCUUUACUAUAGCUUGACACUGAACAUUGAGCCUUGAUGUGUAGGAUAGGUGGGAGGCUUUGAAGUG